rnacentral:rRNA from 1 species
UACAGAGGGUGCGAGCGUUGUCCGGAAUCACUGGGCGUAAAGGGCGCGUAGGUGGCGACCCAAGUCGAUGGUGAAAGCUCGCCGCUCAACGGCGAGUCGGCCACCGAUACUGGGUUGCUGGAGCACUGUAGAGGCAGAUGGAAUUCCGGGUGUAGCGGUGGAAUGCGUAGAGAUCCGGAAGAACACCGGUGGUGAAGGCGGUCUGCUGGGCAGUUGCUGACACUGAGGCGCGACAGCGUGGGGAGCAAACAGG